rnacentral:tRNA from 1 species
GGUGGCAGGCUGUAGUCCUGUUAACAUAGGUUUAAGUCCUGUUUCUAUC